rnacentral:misc_RNA from 1 species
GGGCAAGCUAAAGAUUGGAAAUGAACAAUAGAUGCACAAUUCUGUGUCCCCAGCUGGAUUUGGAACACAUUUUGUUGGUCAGGGGAUGCUUGGGACAUCUGAUUCAGCUUCUAUUGCAUACAUAAUGAAGGGAAUACUGGGAAGUAUUUUAUAAUUUCAGAAGGAGAAAGAAACACAGUUUUCAGAACACUAGUAAGUUAGGAAACAAAUGAAAUCCUGAGAUUUCAAGGACUAGCACUUCGUAUCAAAGCUGCUAGACGGUUCAAGUUCCUAGGACUAGACCUUAUUAUAGUUUUUUUUCC